CAGCCUUCGGACUGGCUUUUUUAGCUUUUAAUAUUUAACCUAACCACUCAGUCAGUACUGAAACAGUUGUGAUGGAGGCCUGGGUUAGUGAAUCCUGGUCUGCCACGCCAGCACCUGCACUGGUGGAGGUGUCAGGGGAAUGAAGUGGGCUCUGUGAGAGUCUUUGGUUGUAGUUUUGUUUAUUGCACUAGUUUUUUGUUAGUUGGCCUCCAGCCAGGAGGUGGGACUUUUAAGAGAGCUUCAGCUGCAGUAGUAUAGAGAGGAUCAGGUGGUGGGCGGAGCCCUAGAGCUCCCAAGAGAUUUUGUCCUUUGUCUUCAGCUACCAGAGCAGGUAAAGAAAGACCAUCAGGUAGAGGCAGGGUUAGGCAUUUUUGAGCUCAAAGUCUCCUUGGCUGGGGCUUGCUGUGGCUGCUGUAGGGGUUAGGGGUGUGGUUACCAAGCCAAUGGAGUUAUGUUCCCAGGGGAUUAUGGCUGCUUUCGCUGUGUCAUGCAGGUUACCAGGGAUGUGGGGGAAAGCCAGCAGUUACAGGCCUCACCUAGCUCCCCCGCAGCCCAAAAGUCUGGUCUCACUUCCACGGUGUCGCCACCAACAGCAUUGAGUUAAUUUCCAGGCAGUGGGUGAGAAGGGCUGAGAACUUGCCCCAGGCUACCAGCCUUGGGGAGGGGAGGCGGGGGGAGAAAGUAAGCAGGGCUUUCAGGUUUUGCACCUCCCUGCCUGCUGCAGCUUCUGUGCUAUGUCUGCACUUCCAAUUCACCUCCUGCCUCAGGUUCUGUCCAGAAAACUUAGCGCUUGGUUGAAAUUGUUACAGAGAUCAUCUGGAAGUUUCCUUCUCCCUGUGAUCUUUUCCUAGUUCCUCUGCAGCCCUCCUCAAGAACCCCUGUAAGACAAAGUCAGAAAUGGUUUUCCAGGGGACAAAGAGUGCCCACAGGGCUCUUCCCACUGUUUCUUUUACCGUUGUGUUUUGCUCGGCUCUCUAAAUUUGUCUCAGCUCCAGGGGCCUGCAACAGCAAUCUGCCUCCUUCAAAGGGUCUGUGGAUCCUCUUGGCUUUCCCGGUAUGUUCCUGUGGUAGUUCUUGGAGCAAAAGUUCACGAUGUGAGUCUCCACACACUGCUCUGUCCACUGGAGUGGGAGCUGCAAGUUAGUCCUGCCUCCAAUCUGCCAUUUUCCCCCACCUGAUCCAUCAUUCUAUUCUCUUUGUCUGUAAGUAAAACUUUUUUGUAAAACUCCCAUAUAUGAGUGAGAACCUGCAACAGUUGUCUCUCUGUGUCUGGCUUAAUUUACUUAACAUAAUGACCCGCAGUUCCCCCAUGUUGCUGCAAGUGACUUAAUUUUAUUUUUUUCCCUAUGGCCGAGUAGUAUUGCACUGUGUAUAUAUAGCAAUUUUUUUUUUGUUCAUUCAUCUAUUGACGGACACUUAGGUUGAUUUCAUAUCAUUGCUAUUGUAAAUAGUGCUGCAAUAACAUGGGGGUACAUGUAUCCUUUUAAUAUACUGAUUUCCUUUCCUUUGGAUAAAUACCUAGUUGUAAGAUUGCUGGAUCACGUGGUAGUUCUAUUUUUAGUUUUACUGAGAAAACUUUAUACUGUUUUCCAUAAUGGCUAUACUAAUUUACAUUCCCGCCAAAAGUGUAUAAGAGUUCUCUUUUCUCUGCAUCCUCCUCAGCAUCUGCUUUUUUUGGGGGGAAGGAGUGGGGGGUCUUUUGAUAAUAACCAUUCUAGCUGGGUAAGCUAAUA
rnacentral:lncRNA from 1 species